rnacentral:rRNA from 1 species
UACGGAGGGUGCAAGCGUUAUCCGGAUUCACUGGGUUUAAAGGGAGCGUAGGUGGGGUGGUAAGUCAGUGGUGAAAUCUCCGGGCUUAACUCGGAAACUGCCGUUGAUACUAUCAUUCUUGAAUAUUGUGGAGGUAAGCGGAAUAUGUCAUGUAGCGGUGAAAUGCUUAGAUAUGACAUAGAACACCGAUAGCGAAGGCAGCUUGCUACACAAUUAUUGACACUGAGGCCCGAAAGCGUGGGGAUCAAACAGG